ACGCUGGCGGCGUGCUUAACACAUGCAAGUCGAACGAUGAAGCCUAGCUUGCUAGGUGGAUUAGUGGCGAACGGGUGAGUAAUACGUGAGUAACCUACCUUUAACUCUGGGAUAAGCCUGGGAAACUGGGUCUAAUACCGGAUACGACCAAUCUCCGCAUGGAGUGUUGGUGGAAAGCGUUAUGUAGUGGUUAUAGAUGGGCUCACGGCCUAUCAGCUUGUUGGUGAGGUAACGGCUCACCAAGGCGACGACGGGUAGCCGGCCUGAGAGGGUGACCGGCCACACUGGGACUGAGACACGGCCCAGACUCCUACGGGAGGCAGCAGUGGGGAAUAUUGCACAAUGGGCGCAAGCCUGAUGCAGCGACGCCGCGUGAGGGAUGACGGCCUUCGGGUUGUAAACCUCUGUUAGCAGGGAAGAAGAGAAAUUGACGGUACCUGCAGAGAAAGCGCCGGCUAACUACGUGCCAGCAGCCGCGGUAAUACGUAGGGCGCGAGCGUUGUCCGGAAUUAUUGGGCGUAAAGAGCUUGUAGGCGGUUUGUCGCGUCUGCUGUGAAAGGCCGGGGCUUAACCCCGUGUAUUGCAGUGGGUACGGGCAGACUAGAGUGCAGUAGGGGAGACUGGAACUCCUGGUGUAGCGGUGGAAUGCGCAGAUAUCAGGAAGAACACCGAUGGCGAAGGCAGGUCUCUGGGCUGUAACUGACGCUGAGAAGCGAAAGCAUGGGGAGCGAACAGGAUUAGAUACCCUGGUAGUCCAUGCCGUAAACGUUGGGCACUAGGUGUGGGGGACAUUCCACGUUUUCCGCGCCGUAGCUAACGCAUUAAGUGCCCCGCCUGGGGAGUACGGCCGCAAGGCUAAAACUCAAAGAAAUUGACGGGGGCCCGCACAAGCGGCGGAGCAUGCGGAUUA
rnacentral:rRNA from 1 species